rnacentral:misc_RNA from 1 species
CCUUGCAUUAGGUAAAGGUAAGAAACCAUCUCCACUAAUCUGAGCCAUGUUAACUGCAUAAGGAAGUUGUCCAAUGUUGUAUGGACUUUUAGCAUGAAAAGACCAACAUGUAUAUUGUGUAUGACCUCUUUAUCACAAUAAGUGCAAUGUUUCGAGUUUUUACCUUUAACUUUCCAAAAUCCAUUUUGUCCCUACUCCUACUGAUUAUCAGAUUGUAUUGCCAAUAUAGAUGAGUUAUUAGAAAUUACCUCGGCGAUAUUAUUGGCAUUUAAGG